GUAUAGGAUCAAGCGAGCGAAGCGCAUGUGGUGGAUGCCUUGGCGAUGACAGGCGAUGAAGGACGUGGCAGCCUGCGAUAAGCCUCGGGGAGCUGGCAGACGAGCUGUGAUCCGGGGAUGUCCGAAUGGGGAAACCCGGCCCGCAAGGGUCAUCCUGGCCUGAAUCCAUAGGGUCAGUGAGGCGAACCGCCUGAACUGAAACAUCUCAGUAGGGCGAGGAGAAGAAAUCAACCGAGAUUCCGAAAGUAGUGGCGAGCGAAAUCGGAGGAGCCUGCAGUCUUUAGCCGCUGGCUUAGCAGAACGCUCUGGAAAGGGCGGCCGCAGAGGGUGAGAGCCCCGUAUGCGAAAAGCGGGCGGUGGAACUAGGGCUGCGACAAGUAGGGCGGGACACGUGGAAUCCUGUCUGAAGAAGGGGGGACCAUCCUCCAAGGCUAAAUACUCGUCAUCGACCGAUAGCGAACCAGUACCGUGAGGGAAAGGCGAAAAGAACCCCGGGAGGGGAGUGAAACAGAUCCUGAAACCGCAUGCGUACAAACAGUGGGAGCCCCAGCUUAAUGGGCUUUCGGGUUCUUUCGGCGGAGCACGCGCAGCCGUGCGUAGCCAAAAGAAUUCAAGAAAGAAACAGAUCCUUGCGUCGACGGCGUAAGGCGCAAGAUCCUUGCGUCGACGGUGUAAGGCGCAAGAUCCUUGCGUCGACGGCGCAAGAUCCUUGCGUCGACGGUGCAAUGGUCGAAGGUCGGAUGAGUUCAUCGAAGUGAAGGUGACUUCGGAUCGCGAAGCGAGACGAAAGGCCCCCCCGCUUGAUGGACUCAUCGAGAGUCCAUCAAGCUGGGGUGACUGCGUACCUUUUGUAUAAUGGGUCAGCGAGUUACAUUCUGUGGCGAGGUUAACCUUUUAGGGGAGCCGCAGCGAAAGCGAGUCUUAACAGGGCGUGAGAAGUCGCAGGAUGUAGACCCGAAACCGGAUGAUCUACCCAUGGCCAGGCUGAAAGUGGGGUAACGCCCACUGGAGGGCCGAACCCACGCCUGUUGAAAAAGGCGGGGAUGAGCGGUGGGUAGGGGUGAAAGGCCAAACAAAUCCGGAAAUAGCUGGUUCUCUCCGAAAGCUAUUGAGGUAGCGCCUCGUGUGGUGACCCUCGGGGGUAGAGCACUGUUAUGGCUAGGGGGCGAGCGUUCGCUUACCAAACCAUGGCAAACUCCGAAUACCGAGGAGUUGAGCACGGGAGACAGACCCAGGGUGCUAACGUCCUGGGUCGAGAGGGAAACAACCCAGACCCGCAGCUAAGGUCCCCAAUGCAUGGCUCAGUGGCAAACGAAGUGGGAGGGCUUAGACAGCCAGGAGGUUGGCUUAGAAGCAGCCACCCUUUAAAGAAAGCGUAAUAGCUCACUGGUCGAGUCGUCCUGCGCGGAAGAUGUAACGGGGCUGCAAGCCAUGAACCGAAGCUCGGGGUGUGUGCAAUCCGCCUGAAGUUGCUUCAUCGUGGUCAUCGGGGUGGACGAGGCUGACUUUCGCUUGCGAAAGUCAAGCGGCAGCUUUGCUGCUGCGGCCGAGGCCAAAGCGUCCUGCUUCCGAUCGAGUUGGGAGGGCGCGCGCGAGUCGGAAGGAGUGACUUCAGGGGAUUGCACACGCGGUAGGAGAGCGUUCCGUAGGCCGGUGAAGGGGCCUUGAGAGGGGUCCUGGAGGUAUCGGAAGUGCGAAUGCUGACAUGAGUAGCGAUAAAGCGGGU
rnacentral:rRNA from 1 species